ensembl:lncRNA
GUUUUUAUUUAUCAUUUGUCUUGAAAACAAAAUAAACAAAAGGAAAUCUUUUCUUCUCAUCACAGAUGGAGGAACUGGGAGAGGAGACGCAUACUGGUACUAGGCAGAAAAUGCGUACAGUGAAAUGACUGGGCUUGGAGCAGUUAAAUAUUCCCAACUUUGGGCGAGAGCAAGAUCUUUACGCUUUAGCUAUAAACUUACUCCUGCUUCAGGCCCCAUCUUUUCACAUUCUUCUACCAGAGGAAUACGCCAUCAACUUCUAGUUCAGACACAGAUUCAGUAACUGCUCUAUUUUCUGUUUUAUCAAUCUGUGCCUGUGUGUUUCUACAACAUCCCACUGUGGAAGAGGAAGCCCAGGUUACCAAAGCAAGAAAUCUGUCCUCUGGCCUGGUUCAAAGCAUGUAUCACGCAGGGGAGUAGGUAAAGAAAAUCCUUGUCAGGAAAGCAGGCCUGAGGACUAAAUCUCACACCAUGAAACACCCCUUCCUCCUAAAACCUUAAACAAAAAGCUAAGCUGUGACUCAGCCCCCUGCAAAAGGGGCUCAAAGCAUUUGUUAGAAUAAAUGAGAGUGCAAGAGGCCAGCAGACCAGCACUCGUCAGGGGCCACGGGGCUUCAUUUCAGGGCACACGCACUUCAGUAUUUCUAGAAAUGACCAGGGCAAGGGACUUAGAUGCAUAUUUAUGUGCAUGUAUUAAGCCACCUUGGAGAUUACAACAAGACCCUGGACCAGAGGGUGGUUAGAGCAAGCUCCCCAGGCAGCAGUCACAGCCCCAGGCUGAGGGAGUUGGAGAAGCAUUUGGACACUACCAUUGGAGAUGGCAGUUGAAGUUCAGGCAGACCGGGGCAGAGCUACAAGUGGGAGGUCCCUUCCAACACAGGCUGCAUUCCUAUUCUACACCCAGCAGCCAUUUUACUGAGUUUGUAUACUUGUUAAGCUUUUCCUCUCUUCUCAGUAGUGUACUCCUUCACCAGCCCACUGGGAAAAAAGCAGAGCCUGUUAGCCCCAGCAGCAACAGCUUAAAGGCCAGCAGACAUCUCCUUGCACUAAUGAGUCAACCUACUAACACACUGAGACACAGUAGCAGCAAAGGCAGAAGGAGAGUAGUUCUGUAUUCAAGUCAAUUAACUCCUUUUUCUCUCCUGCCUUGUAGAGGUGGCUGCAUUUGAACAGCAGCACAGCUGGAACAUUAACUAACUAAAAGUGAAGUUAACUGCAGACUUCCACACGAAGGUACAAUAUACAUCCUCAAGCCAGGGAAGCCCUACCGCAUCUGAGAAAGGCUGCCUUGCAGAAAUUCAGCUGCAACAACACAGACACAGGAAACAUCCUCAGCAAUUUCAGCUGGUGAGCGAAGUGAGGCUGAGGCAUGGUGCUGUUGGAGUAGGUGCUCUGUAAAUAUUUGUUAUUAACAUAAGUCUCACCUUUUUUUUUUUUCAAACAGAACAUACAAUGCCAAACAACCACCCACCGAAGAGGGCAUUUGCCUCCCCUUUCUCACCCCUCAAGAUUACCGAGGGAAUGGCAUCAGCCAGGGAAGAAGCCCCCAGCACAGAAAAAGCAGGUGCCUCCUCUUUUAGUGUGGUAAGUAAGGAUUUAGAGUUACACCUAGACAUUCCCCUAUGCAGUUUUGCUUCGGCCAGAAGCUGAAGAACGUAAAGAAAGUGGAAGAGGUCUCUCAAACAGGAGACCUGGUUUUCCCACUAUUACAAAGUCACCCAUUUCUAAAUUUCAGGCCGCCCAUCUACCAGUUCAAUCCAGCACAGGUCAUGAGGUACGCUCUUGAAUAUUUUGCCUUAGCCACAGAAGGAGGUACCUUCAUUUUUAUUUAUAUAAACAAAAAUGAAGUUGGCCAUGUUAGAGACCUCUCACAAGAGGAGAGGUCAUCAGCAUUUCCCUUGUUUAGUUUUCCCACUUAUCUGAUUUCCCUCCCCCCCCGCUCCCCCUGCAGGAGUAGCACACCAAAAUCUGAGAGCACAGCAGCAGCUCCCCUCCUUCCUGAGAGUCUCAGUCUUAGGCUGCUGCUGCGGUAUCCAUCCUGCAUACACUAGAGAUUGUUUGCUCCCUCACACCGCAGGCAAACAUCACCCUCCAGCCACUUCCUCCAACCCCCAGGGAGCAGUGACUACAGAGAACAAGCAACCUCUUAAGUCACAACAAGAAGUUGGUUCCAAGGGGCCUUACCUGAGCUUUGAAGUAACACACUAAAAGCUUUCUCC